GAAAAUGGAAUCAUUUAUCGACAGUGUUUUUAUUUUUUAAUUUAAUAUUUUUAUAAAAAAGAACUGUGUGUUUAAAAAGGAGUUUCUAAGUGAUUUGUGAAAUGACAGUUGGUUAUUUUUUUGUCCGCGGAACAUCUUAUUGUGCAAUAGGGAUUACUUUUUUGUAUCGGAGCUAAGGAUACGAUCAAAAAUGCUGAAGUGGGCGGUUUACGGUAAAAAGAACCAAGACCUUCGGGUUUCUAACGACCUUGACAAUGAAGACGAACAUUAUAGCGAUGAACAUUACAACAACAAUAAUAAAGUUAGAAGAUCUCUCGACGCACAAACAGUUAAAAAGAGCAAAAAACCAAGCAGAUACCAGCGAAGGUCAUUAGGAUCUGCUGCAGUUCGGAAAAACAUGAAAGCUGUAGAUAAAGAAAAUGUAAACUAUAUAGGAAAUACACCAAACUAUUACAGAGAAGGUUUCAUCAAAAAGCCAGAAGGGAUUGCUUUAAAAGAUGUUAGCAACAUAACUCCUACUGGCACUCCAGUCAAAAAGUUUGAUAGGAGAAAAUACUACAUAAAUAGUUCCAGAGACGACAUUCCACCAGAUUUACCACCCACGCCACCAACUUACAGCAGGAGGGUAAGGGAAGCUAAGAAAAGGAAACUUGAAAUGGCGAGUGCAAAUGAAGUGUUCAGACGAGAUAGCUGUGUGUACAAAUCUGAGAGAAGAAUAAAGCCUAUUGAUAGAAACUCGUUCAGUCCAAAGCUAAGUCAUAGUACUUCUGAGCCGUCACUAAGUGAUUUAUCUGAUAGAUUAAGUGCUACAACUACUAGCAGUAGAAACUCUUUUGCCCUAGGAAAACAAUUAAACAAGCCUGUAUGUACUACCAAAACUAUAAAUGAUGGCUUAGUUGAAAUAGAGUAUGAUAGAGAUCUAGUGCUCAAUUGUGUAGAAAAACCUCUUACUAUCAAUAAGAGUGCUAUUGAAAAGACCACUCUCCCUAUAUUUGGACAUCAUAUUUUCAUGGAUAAUCCUUUAUACUUUAAUAACAAUGAUAUUGGUCUCACAAAUAUAAGGCCAUUGAAAAGGACGCGAAAGAAAUCGAAUGAUUUCGAAAGUUCAUUUAAAUCUCCAUCUGUAGAUAAGAAAGACGCACAUACGCUAGUAAGAGAUGGUUGUUCACCUGUCUCAAUCACACCUUUAUCUACAAAACUAGCAGCUUUAAGAUUCAGUACUAUGAGUGUACAUAGUAAAUCGCAAAGAGUUGCUUUCAAUAAUGAUGUUACAGAAUAUUUUCCUAAAGUAGAGAAUCCUUUUACUAUCCCUUUGAGGGACGAAGAAACUUCUACUGAAAUGGAAAAUAAGUUUAUCUUAGGCAAGGAUUCUACGUCUAAUAAUACAGACUCAACUGUCUCAACCACGCAAAUGGGAGAUGUUACACUUGAAAGGAUGAUCGAAGAUAUUAUAAAGAGUACUAAAAUUAUUAAAUCCAAAAGAAGGAUCUUGAAUAAAGCUCCAGUUUUAGACAUUCAUGAAGAAAUUCCUCCUCUUGAUACUGUAAAAGAUUUGUUUGUAAACCCUCAGGCGGAAAACAAGACCAAUCUAAUCAGAGAAGCGAAGUACGUAAACUUGUCACGAGAAAACUCAGUUUCACCUAAAACUACACCAACUAAAAGAAUGCCUGUACACAGAGUCAAUGAUAAACUAUUGAAAAAUCUUCCUAUUGGAUGCUUUAUCCUUGAUGAUGGUGAUGGUUAUAAUGAAAGAGAAGUCAGGACGCCAGACAAUGCUAUUGAUGUGAAGCGUAAAGCAAGUCCUAAGAAACGUCCGACUCUCAACAGGUCGCAAUCUAUGAAUAUCUCUUAUGAAAGAGGGAAUCUAGAAUCUAUGUCAUCAGAAUCAACUCCUGACUUAUAUUCAGCUGCUGAAGAAAGAGCAAGCCUAAGGCUAAAACGACAAAAAUGUAUAAGAAGGAAAAAGUCGACAGUUAGCAAUGAAAGCCAAUGGAAGACUAAAGAUCUUAAAACUUCAAUUCUCACACUAGAGAUAGGAAUACCUAGUCCAUCAACAGAACUACCUAAUACAUCAUUAUGUGAGCCUCUAAGCCCUCCAUUAUCAAAUCCUAUUGAAACUGAUGAUUACCAGAACAUUUCUUUGAAAUCUAACGUAUCACAUAGCAGUUUGAUGCCUUACACCAACUCUCACAACAAGAGAUCAAGGGAACUAUUUGGACUUACUCUAGAACAUGGCAUUCCUAGUCCUAUUACUCCUGUUCCUAAUCUCAAAAGGCCAGGCAAAGUGCUGAGUGAAGAACGAGCUCAUAAGACCAGUAAAUUGGAUGAUGACUUCCUACCUAAUGACGCGUAUACUCCUGUCAUUGAGCAUAAGUCUAUCCGUAGAUGUCUGACUUAUUCCCCAGAGGAGAAUAGCAUAAGUAGUAGCGAAGAGAAAAGAAGGAGUGUAGCCAGCAAUCGUCUAGAAAGAUCUAGCGAGAGAUUCCAAGCCCCAAAAGGGACAAUAGAUUUAGAAAUCAUUACUAGGAAUGACGUCAUAGACGUGCACGUUAUAAGAUGCCGAGAUCUUCAGAGGUCCUCAGGGAAAACGGAUGACAUCAAUGCUUAUGCGAAGGUCGUAAUCAGCGGUGUAACAGAGAGCCAAUCCCUGCCAUCUCAACGAUCCAUCUUUCAACGAACAUCAGUACUAUAUGGCAAGAGAGAACCAGAGUUCCAAAGACAUCUGAAGCUUCCUCUCCCAACUGCUGUCUACGACCACCAAGUUCUUCACAUCUCUGUGUGGCAUAGAGAUAAGAAAUACAGGCGGAGCGAGUUUUUAGGAUGUGUCUCGUUCCCACUAAAAGAUGCAAUUAACUGCGACAUAUCCGGCACGUAUUUCCUGCAACAAGGCUCUGGACGCGGCCAGAACGCGACGCAGGCGCACGCAAAUGACAGAUUCGUUAGAGAGGACCGCGUGACUGAAGGGGACCCAGGCAAGAUGGCUACCGAUAACAUUGAAACUAGCACUAACGAUGGCACUAAAGAAAAUCAUGAUAAAGGUGUAUCAACAAACGGCCCAUCAUCUACCACAGCGAGCCAGGCUCAAGCAGUGGCGGCUGCCCUCCAGCGUGAAGCUGAUGAGCACCUGUUCCUCCGAUACUUGGAGCUGGACCCUCCCGAAGAUCCCAAUGCUCCCAGGAGAGCGCCCAGGAAUGGCAGAACACCGUUCACUACCACAAGGAAACUCAUCCGCGGUACUGCUGGUGGUUUCGGCUUCACCGUGGUAUGGACCAGGCCACCAAGAGUUGAAAGGGUCGCGGCGGGUGGGUCAGCAGAGCGCGCGGGACUCAGGGCUGGUGACUAUCUCGUGUUCGUGGGUAACAAGAAUGUGGUGACGUCCAAUGAGGAGGAAGUCAGAAACCUUGUCAAAUCAGCAGGUCAGAUGCUGAACAUAGAAACGUUCAGAAGAGUGCCUCCAAACGGUGUUGGGAUCCGACCGAGGCUGACGCAGGUGACCAUUCCUCCAGCGGAGUCCACGCCCCCUCCACCUCCAAGGUCCCCAAGAGGAGCAGCCUUAGCGUCUCCAGCUACUGCCGCUCGGCCCCCCACCGCCUGUUCUUCAACCAGCCAGUCUCUUGACAGACGCAAGCUCCAUUUGCCCCAAGUCACAUUCUCCAAAGAGACGCCAGGGUUAGCAACUGAUGGCAGAAAGCGCGCACUCCUAGCCGUGGUGGCCAGAGAACAGCACUAUGGAACCUGCCUACAAUUCGGCCUCGUCAGAUUUGUGUCACCCCUGGCUGAGAGAGCAGACCUCAUAGCGCCCAAUGAUCACCAGCUGCUGUUUCAAAAUAUUGAAGAGAUCUUCAGGCUGUCAGAAGAUAUCUUGGAUCAAGUGGUACAAGAUGACGGAGAGAUUCAGACGUCAACGGUGGUUGCAAUCUACCUGCAGAAGACGCCCGUGUUCCUUAGCCUUUACAAAAAGUAUUGCCUUGGUCUCAAGAGAGCUGACUGUGUUUUGGUAAAAAAGUCAAAAGACCCAAGUGGAGCAUUCUCCCGGUUCUGCACAAGCCCACCCAUACCUAGAAGAAGACCAGACAUCACGUCGCUAGUCCACAAACCAUUGGAGCAGUUCCGAGAACUACUACGGCUGAUGAGAGCGGCGGCGGCAGCAAAUGGAGCUGGACCUUAUGACCAGCUUGAGAAGAAGCAGCUUCAAGUUAUUGUGGAGCAGUUACAGAGUGGUUACCAAGACGUGACGGCUGGGUCAGGUCUGAUGGGCCUCGCUGGAGAUGGCAAGCCGCUGCUGUCCGUCGCCGACUUGGAAAGUCGACUUGUGUUCACUAGGUGUAAGCCAUUCGUGCUAAGCACGGCGGGUCGUCAAUGGAUCUUCGGAGGCGAGCUCUCGAGGGUCGAAGGUCGCGCAGUGAGACCGUACUGGGCGCUGCUGUUCAGUGAUCUCCUACUGUUCGCUACUGUCUCCAGGGACCGGGUACUGUUUGUGACUGAGGAACCAGUCGCGUUAGGGACCGUGUCCGAAGCACAGUUCAAUGUUAGGAAGAAAGCAACGGAAUUCCGCUUAAUCCUGGGCCGUGCGGGUGGCGAGUCUCCACUAGUCUCGUGUUCGCCGCGCACGCCAGGUCGGACAAGAACAGUCGUGUUAAGAGCUCCCUCCAUCGACCUGAAGGCGGUUUGGCAGAGUUUACUGCAGAGACAAAUAUACCGUGCCCACACGAUGUCAGGCACACCACUGGGCUCGCCGCUGGACUCGCCGGACCCGCAGCUGACGUUCUCCCUCGCCACGCUGGACUCGCAGCAACGCCAGACGCGACGCAGUUCAGUGGAAACACAGACAGGGGGCGGGGGAAGUGCCACUGAAGGAGCCAGGAGUACUCGCAGCAGAGGAUCUACUCUUCAUCUGCAGAGAUGGAUGACGCAACUGCCUGAAGCCGAGGAGUUGGAUCCGCCUGAACCUGAUAUGGAAAUGUGGAGCGUAGAGGAAUUAAGAAAACGGUCCAAAGAACUUAACCUUUUAGAGGUAGCUGAUCUUGUUUCAAGUCACGAAGCUAAAGGAACGUCGCCUGGUGACAAGAAGGAUAACGAUCGAAGUCCAUCAAAAAGCAGCAAUUCAGGAAGUCAAAUAACGGUAAGGACAAGCCCAGUGGUUGUAGACACGAUACCCGUCUGCAGACAGUGCCACAAAAAGUGUUUGUCCAAACCAAAUAGCCCCUUAGUGUCCCAAAAGGAACCACCAGUGAUACCCGCCAAACCAAAAACCGAGGCAUCGCCCCAAAAUUCCAACUCUAAUAAGAGUUCCACCAGUCCAUGUAGUGCACACUGUGGCAAUCGUAAGCCAAGAAACUUCUCACACUUAGAGCGUAAAAAUGCCAUUAAGUUACGUCCCGAAGAUGGGCCGAGAGCGGCGAAGAAGGUUAUAGACUCUAUAGAACAAAGCCAGAGAAUGCUCAAAUCAACGUCUUACGAACUGAAAACUGAUUCACCAAUUUUAAGCAGAAGCGUUCAUUCAAUUCAUACAAAGAGCCAGUUAGAAUUAAGAAAAGAUAACUCAAUAAGAUCACCAAGUCCAUCAUCUAGUAGUCGAAACAGUCCACUGUCAACUAGCCACACAACCUGUAGUUCUAUGGUCUUUAAUUCUAGUUCUAAUGAUUUAAGAAUGUCCAAUUCAAACAUUGCCAACCAGGUCCAAUGCGUCAUUGCUCAAGAGAAAUACUUGAACGAGGUGAAAUGUGUUGAAAGUAUAACUUUAACGAAAACCAAAACAGCAACGUCCAGCUACCCAUCGCCUGCGUCUGUUAGAAAAGAACAAAUUACUAGACAGAAAGCUGAAAACGUACUCAACAAAGUAUUAGGCAUGAAUAUUAUAACUAAAAGGGAAAAUGUCGGUUCUUGUUUGAAGACGUCAUCGGUAUUCCUAGAAGAUGAUUCAAUACACGAAGAUGAUAAUGAUUUUAAAAUAGAGAGAGGUCUCAGAAGGUCCCCUAGAAUGGGCAUUUCGGCAGUCAGUAAAAUGAACGGUGACAUAAAUAAGAAGACUGAAGAUGUGAAUGCAAAUGCUACUGACGCAGGUUCAGAUGAUGAUUUAGAGUUAGGACCCUUAAUGUUGAUGGGCCUAUCAGCCAUCAAUCCUGCAGCACAUUUAAUGAGAGUCGAACCAUUUAAAAGAGCUUCAGGGACGAGUUUGAACAAUCCAUGUUCUAGACCAGGUAGCCUUGGUUCAGUCAAGUCAGAAUCUCCUGUUCCUAAUAUUGCUGUCGUCCCACCAACGCCCGACUAUAAUUCCACUAAUAAGACUGAUGACCUUGUAGAUGAGUCCCCAGAUUCCCCUGAUGUCCCAGAUGAUCUGCCUUAUGUAACGCUCAAAAGAUAUGGAACAAUGUCAAGCCUGGAGAGAUUACCGUCCGAUGAGACUGACGAUGGCAACGUAAGACUGACAGCACAGGAGCCAGAAACUUCGAAAACUUAUAACAAUCCAGUAACUGGUGCAGCUGGUGGUAUAAUGGGCUGGACAGCAAGGGCCGGAUCUUUUGUCGUGGAGAAGAUGAACAUCUUCAGUUAUACUGAGAGUGUGCCCAGUACAGCUAUAGCCCACAAACAGCCUUCGUUCUUAGAGAGAUGUCUCGGAGUCAGUGAUUGGAAGUCCACAAUUGGUACAGAAGAAGGGACAGGAGAGACAGGGGAGGGGAGUGGAGCAAGCGGCGAAGAAGCCUGGGGCACUCCAUCAUCAGGCGACCUGUCGGAUAACCUGCCUGAUUCUGAACAUGGAACUCUAUCGUCCCCAACGAAGUCAUCAUCUUCAUACGCCGGUGAUGAUGAUACAGAGCUGAUGAUGGAUGAACUUCUCAUGGCACCAACUAUUACAGGACCUACAACCAUGAGACCACUUCUGCCAAGGGAUGUUUUUAGGAGAAGACUGGAACCUCUCAUGGAGGAAGAGUGUUCUGACAGUGGUAGCGAAGACAACAAGCCUACCCCCACCAACUCUGACGACCAGAACCAGAGGGCGGGGAUGCGGGCGUCGGCCCAGCUGCUGGAGGGGAGGGAGGUGGUGGCGCCGGGUGCGAGCUGAGCCCCGACCGGACGCCCACCAACGAGGCGCCCUCGACGCCCUUACUAUCUGUUUCAAGAGAGUUUGCGGAGGUGCGUGCCAUUGUUGGAGCUGGUCGUCGGGGCUCAGCCAGCUCGGACAGCACGCCCUCCACACUCGAACGCACCACUAUACACAACCCCACGUCACUCAGCCAACCCGGACCAG
rnacentral:misc_RNA from 1 species